AGAGGGUGCGAGCGUUAAUCGGAAUUACUGGGCGUAAAGCGCACGUAGGCGGCUUGGUAUGUCGGGUGUGAAAUCCCCGGGCUCAACCUGGGAACUGCAUCCGAAACUGCCUUGCUCGAGUAUGGGAGAGGGAAGUGGAAUUUCCGGUGUAGCGGUGAAAUGCGUAGAUAUCGGAAGGAACAUCAGUGGCGAAGGCGACUUCCUGGACCAAUACUGACGAUCAGGUGCGAAAGCGUGGGGAGCAAACAGGAUUAGAUACCCUGGUAGUCCACGCCCUAAACGAUGACAACUGGAUGUCGGGAGGGUUUGCCUUCCGGUGUCGUAGCUAACGCGUUAAGUUGUCCGCCUGGGAAGUACGGCCGCAAGGUUG
rnacentral:rRNA from 1 species